rnacentral:rRNA from 1 species
UACGGAGGGGGCUAGCGUUGUUCGGAAUUACUGGGCGUAAAGCGCACGUAGGCGGCUUUCUAAGUCAGGGGUGAAAUCCUGGAGCUCAACUCCAGAACUGCCUUUGAUACUGGGAAGCUCGAGUCCGGAAGAGGUGAGUGGAACUGCGAGUGUAGAGGUGAAAUUCGUAGAUAUUCGCAAGAACACCAGUGGCGAAGGCGGCUCACUGGUCCGGUACUGACGCUGAGGUGCGAAAGCGUGGGGAGCAAACAGG